GACGAACGCUGGCGGCGUGCUUAACACAUGCAAGUCGAACGCUGAAGCCUAGCUUGCUGGGUGGAUGAGUGGCGAACGGGUGAGUAACACGUGAGUAACCUGCCCCCUUCUUUGGGAUAACGCCCGGAAACGGGUGCUAAUACUGGAUAUUCACUGAUCUUCGCAUGGGGGUUGGUGGAAAGGUUUUUUCUGGUGGGGGAUGGGCUCGCGGCCUAUCAGCUUGUUGGUGGGGUGAUGGCCUACCAAGGCUUUGACGGGUAGCCGGCCUGAGAGGGUGACCGGUCACAUUGGGACUGAGAUACGGCCCAGACUCCUACGGGAGGCAGCAGUGGGGAAUAUUGCACAAUGGGCGGAAGCCUGAUGCAGCGACGCCGCGUGAGGGAUGGAGGCCUUCGGGUUGUAAACCUCUUUCGCUCAUGGUCAAGCCGCAACUUUGGGUUGUGGUGAGGGUAGUGGGUAAAGAAGCGCCGGCUAACUACGUGCCAGCAGCCGCGGUAAUACGUAGGGCGCGAGCGUUGUCCGGAAUUAUUGGGCGUAAAGGGCUUGUAGGCGGUUGGUCGCGUCUGCCGUGAAAUCCUCUGGCUUAACUGGGGGCGUGCGGUGGGUACGGGCUGACUUGAGUGCGGUAGGGGAGACUGGAACUCCUGGUGUAGCGGUGGAAUGCGCAAAUAUCAGGAAGAACACCGGUGGCGAAGGCGGGUCUCUGGGCCGUUACUGACGCUGAGGAGCGAAAGCGUGGGGGAGCGAACAGGAUUAUAUACCCUAGUAGUCCAAGGGCGGAAUUCCACAGUGGAUAUCAAGCUUAUCGAUACCGGCCGACCUCCAGGGGGGUAACACAUAUACAAUUUAUUGUUCCCCUUAUGAAGGGUUAUUUGCC
rnacentral:rRNA from 1 species